CAGUCGCCGCGGUAAUACGUAGGUGGCAAGCGUUGUCCGGAUUUAUUGGGCGUAAAGCGAGCGCAGGCGGUUUCUUAAGUCUGAUGUGAAAGCCCCCGGCUCAACCGGGGAGGGUCAUUGGAAACUGGGAAACUUGAGUGCAGAAGAGGAGAGUGGAAUUCCAUGUGUAGCGGUGAAAUGCGUAGAUAUAUGGAGGAACACCAGUGGCGAAGGCGGCUCUCUGGUCUGUAACUGACGCUGAGGCUCGAAAGCGUGGGGAGCAAACAGGAUUAGAUACCCGCGUAGUCCCUGUCUCUUAUAC
rnacentral:rRNA from 1 species